CAUACGUCUACGGAUGAAAGCAGAGGAUCGCAGGACCUUGCGGAAUGGAGCGGCCGAUGGCAGAUUAGGUAGUUGGUGAGGUAAAGGCUCACCAAGCCGUCGAUCUGUAGCUGGUCUGAGAGACGACCAGCCACACUGGGACUGAGACACGGCCCAGACUCCUACGGGAGGCAGCAGUGGGGAAUUUUGGACAAUGGGCGAAAGCCUGAUCCAGCCAUGCCGCGUGCAGGAUGAAGGCCUUCGGGUUGUAAACUGCUUUUGUACGGAACGAAACGGCCUUUUCUAAUAAAGAGGGCUAAUGACGGUACCGUAAGAAUAAGCACCGGCUAACUACGUGCCAGCAGCCGCGGUAAUACGUAGGGUGCAAGCGUUAAUCGGAAUUACUGGGCGUAAAGCGUGCGCAGGCGGUUAUGUAAGACAGUUGUGAAAUCCCCGGGCUCAACCUGGGAACUGCAUCUGUGACUGCAUAGCUAGAGUACGGUAGAGGGGGAUGGAAUUCCGCGUGUAGCAGUGAAAUGCGUAGAUAUGCGGAGGAACACCGAUGGCGAAGGCAAUCCCCUGGACCUGUACUGACGCUCAUGCACGAAAGCGUGGGGAGCAAAUAGGG
rnacentral:rRNA from 1 species